rnacentral:rRNA from 1 species
CACGUAGUUAGCCGGUGCUUAUUCUUCCGGUACCGUCAGUAAUGGACGAUAUUCACGUCCACCGUUUCGUUCCGGACAAAAGAGCUUUACAACCCGAAGGCCUUCUUCACUCACGCGGAAUGGCUGGAUCAGGGUUUCCCCCAUUGUCCAAAAUUCCCCACUGCUGCCUCCCGUAGGAGUCUGGGCCGUGUCUCAGUCCCAGUGUGGCUGAUCAUCCUCUCAGACCAGCUACCGAUCAUCGCCUUGGUGGGCUCUUACCCCGCCAACUAGCUAAUCGGACAUCGGCCAACCCAAUCGCGUGAGGCCUUGCGGUCCCCCAUUUCCCCUCUCGGGCGUAUGCGGUAUUAAUCCGGCUUUCGCCGGGCUAUCCCCCACGACAUGGACAUGUUCCGAUGCAUUACUCACCCGUUCGCCGCUCGCCGCCAGGUUGCCCCGCGCUACCGCUCGACUUGCAUGUGUAAAGCAUUCCGCAGCGUUCAAUCUGAGCCAGGAUCAAACUCU